rnacentral:rRNA from 1 species
UACGAAGGGGGCUAGCGUUGCUCGGAAUCACUGGGCGUAAAGGGCGCGUAGGCGGCGUUUUUAAGUCGGGGGUGAAAGCCUGUGGCUCAACCACAGAAUUGCCUUCGAUACUGGGACGCUUGAGUGUGGUAGAGGUUGGUGGAACUGCGAGUGUAGAGGUGAAAUUCGUGGAUAUUCGCAAGAACACCCGUGGCGAAGGCGGCUCUCUGGGACGGUACUGUCGCUGAGACGCGAAAGCGUGGGGAGCGAACGAGG